GGGGGAGCAGGGUCCGGGGCUUCGGGGGGGAGCACGGUGAGGACAUCAGUGGGGAGCAUCGUCUGGACGACCGUGGGGAGCACGGUCUGGGCACUGGGGGAAGCAGGCCCAAAAAGGCCCGGCCCCCGAGACGCCAUCGGCGGCCCGGCGCCCCCUCGCGGCCAAAACGGGAAACCGACCCGACCCCGGAGACGCCAUCGGCGGCCCGGCGCCCCCUCGCGGCCAAAACGGGAAACCGACCCGACCCCGGAGACGCCAUCGGCGGCCCGGCGCCCCCUCGCGGCCAAAACGGGAAACCGACCCGACCCCGGAGACGCCAUCGGCGGCCCGGCGCCCCCUCGCGGCCAAAACGGGAAACCGACCCGACCCCGGAGACGCCAUCGGCGGCCCGGCGCCCCCUCGUGGCCAAAACGGGAAACCGACCCGACCCCGGAGACGCCAUCGAGGGGCCGGCGCCCCCUCGUGGCCAAAACGGGAAACGGGCCCGGACCGGGAUGCGUUAACUAUAAUAAUAAUAAAAAUAAUAAUAAAAAUGAUAAUAAUAACAAUGAUGUUGGUAUUUGUUAAGCCCUUACCCUGUGCAGAGCACUGUUCUAAGCGCUGGGGGUCGAUACAGGGUAAUCAGGUUGUCCCACGUGAGGCUCACAGUCUUAAUCCCCAUUUGACAGAUGAGGUACUGAGGCACAGAGAAAUGAAGUGACUUGCCCACAGUCACACAGCCGACAAGUGGCAGAGUCGGGAUUCGAACCCAUGACCUCUGACUCCCAAGCCCGGGCUCUUUCCACUGAGCCACGCUGCUUCCCUAACUAGAAGGGGGGAGACCGACAUCAAGACAAAUAAACAGGCAUUGAUAUAAAUAAUAAAAAUAAUGGUAUUUGUUGAGCGCUUACUUUGUGCCAAGCACUGUUCUAAGCGCUGGGGAAGAUGCAAGGUGGUGCCACGUGGAGCUCACAGUCUUCAUGCCCAUUUGACAAAUGAAAUAACUGAGGCACAGAGAAUAAUAGCGAUGAUGGC
rnacentral:lncRNA from 1 species